ensembl:lncRNA novel transcript, antisense to ZNF98
GGGGACCCAGAGCUGGCUGGGGUGGAAACCGCGGCCUACUUUCCCGCCUCCAGCAAACUCUGCAAUUGCUGAGGUUGAUUUAGCAGCACCCAAGGGAUCUGGGUCGGCAAGAGCACCUCAGUGACAGCCUGGCACCGGGGUCCGCAGGAGAAGGCCAGGCUGGGGCCAGGGAGCUGAGGCUGAGGAGGAGCGUUUGCACAGGCUAGGGAGACACGGCACAGCAGUAUCCGCCUCAGACAUUUGUAGCACCGUUAGUCCUGCCACUUUCUCUCACUGUAGCUUCGCAACAGACUUGGGAACCAAGCAAGGCAUGGCUGAGGAAGCUUAAGCCCAGUCUGGGCUCGCGGAAGAAGCUGGUGGAUCCAAAUAUCUGCUUCCUGCCUCCACCCACCCCUCCCCGCUCCCGUGGUUGGGGAACUCCAGAGCCCCACAUCACAGUUCAGCACGUGCCUCAGGAGCUUCAGCACCUCCUUCGUGAAAGGAGAGUCUGCCGGUAACGGGGGAAGCAGGCCAUCAGCCUGCCCAGCUUCAUCUCAGGCCGCUUCCAACAGCGCCAAGCAAACUCCCUUGGCAAGAUCCAUGCAAGGCCGCGGCUGACCACCGGGAGGCAGCAGCCUACUCUGCAAGGCACUCUCUUUACCCGACCCCCACCCCCUUUUAACAGGUGGCAGGAAACCUGCUGGCCCAGCCAUCUGCCGCACCCACCCUUCACUCCCAGUCCCAUCUCCCCAUAGCACAGAUUUCCCUAUCAUGAGCCCAGACGUGGCCUGCAUCUCCUCUUGCCUUCCUCUGCCCAAGGAAUCCCUACAGAGAUUCUUUCUCUAUCUUCCUUUAUACAUUUCCACAGAAUUGUUUCCCCAGGGCCCCUCCCCUUGAAGAAAUUAGACAGGAAGCUGGAGUAGAUGGUUCCCUCUUUCCCACCUCUCACACUCCCAAGCUCUGGUUAACUCUCUGUGGGCCAGUGGCUAGAUUCCCCAACACAGAUGACAACUGAACAAUACACAUGCAGCGUAAGAAUGUUGUCGCUGCCACCAGCCACUUACAGAUACACCAUUGCUAAGGUCCACCCAACUGGACUGUUUCCCCCUUCCAUAGACUAAGCCCCAAAGGCCAAAAAUAAAACCCCCUACCCCAAACCUGCCUAUAACUGUUUGACCAGAGGCCAGCUGUCCCAGGAUGCGGUUAAGAUGUCUACCUUGCACAACAGAACUGGCAAGAAAAACAUCUCCAGGAAGCGGUCAGAUACACGGCACAAAGGACUCCCCCCUCCCCGCUUUUCCUUUUCCUUCACCCUGACCCAGUUCUACGCCCUGUAAGACGUUGCUCCAGCCUAUAAGUGGGGCUGCCUCCUCUGCUUUUGUCAAGAGAUAGCCCGGCAGGACUGACAAUAAAUCAGUUUGCCUGAA